UGAAGGAGAGACUCGAGGCGAGCCGGUCUGGACUCUCUGAGCCCGACAGGAGAGCAGCCAUCACAGCCGUCUGUCAUCCGUUUGGUAGAAACAAUCCGCCGAGCAAUAACCAGCAACGAGUAGAACCAAGAGACGCUGCAGAGUUUCACUGCAGAACCUGAACCGCUCCUCUCACUUCUGCUGUUUCUGGAGGUUUUCCUGCAUCUGCAUGAAAAAUGUUCCGUCUGCUGCACAGAUGUUUGUUAAUACGAACAAAGAUUCCUCCUGGAGACAACAAACUGAGUCUGAGCUCAGCCAGCUUGAAUUUAAAGAGAGUUUUAUCCAUUUUUUUAACCUAAAAUGAUGUUUUUAUUUGUGUUGUCAGCACUGGAGCUGAAACUGUUCAACUAUUUCAAGCACAAAUCGGAAAACGUGUCGACUUUUUGCUGUUUUACACGAGUGAAAACUGAAUAUUUGGACAAAGUUACACACUUGAGGACAUGUAAGAGACUAGAAAUCGAUUUUAGUGACAACUAUGCAACAAUGUCUGACCAGAAAUGAAGAAAAACACAUGAAUUAUUGACACUUACUGUAGAAUAAUGUUCAAACAGUCCCAGUUUUCUGUGCUUUUAGGUUUUCUAAAGUAUUUCUGAAUCAUUUCCUGUAAAAUUUGACUCAACAACUGGAUGGUUUAAUUUAGGACGUUAAACGAAACUGUAUUGGAGUUAAAAUCUUAUUAUUCUACUGCAGACAAGGAGCUCGUUGAAGUGAAAAACUGUUGAAAAUGUUCUUGGCUGCCAGGUUUGUUCAGAUUUUAGAAAAAAAAAAAAAACGUAAGAAAUGAGUUGAAGUCGUGCAGCAGAUGUGAUGUUUUUCCAUCCAGAUGAGUUUGUAAUUUCACAUUUUGUACAUUUAAACAGUGAGAAGUGGAAGACGAACUGUAAAGUGAAAGUUUGCAAUAAUCUGACGAUGGGAACUGGAAAGAAGAAGAAAAGUUUUCUGUAAAUAAAAGAUUCUUUGAGGCCACAGAAGCAGACGGUUUCUGGAGGAUCCGACUCAGUGAUUUUCGCCGUUAAACCGCCGAUACCUCCGACCCGACAGGAUCUGAACGUCGAACUGUGGAAAAGAUUCUGUUUCCUCACAGCGACAAUCAGCUGAUUUAAAGUUUGUUUUUUGGAGCCGAGCAGCGAAAUCACAGCCGAAUAGAUUUUAUUUUAACUUCGACAGGCAUCGAAUCAUCUGAGAUGAGGAGAAAUCUGCCCUGAAACGUUUUUAUUUUCUUUUUGUUUAAAGUUUUCCUUUUAAAGGAUCAGAUCUGCAGCUUUAACACAAACUCUUCUGAAUUCAAGAAAGUUUGGAAUUAUUUUUUUCAAAUGAUAAUAAUCAAUUGCCAGCUUUAGAUUCAACAGAUCUAUAAAGUUUAAACAAAAUUUAACUCCAAAAAGUCUAAAUUCUAUGAUUGCAGCGUAUUAAAUGUGAAUAUUUUUGACAGUAAACAGAAUAUCUGUGGACAAAACAAGACAUUUGUCGUCUUGAAAUCAUUCUAAUGAUUUUUUUUAAGCAUUUAUUGUCAUAAAAAUUUUAAUCUUCUCUCCAAAAUAUGAAAUUUGUUGCAUUUUGCAACAGUGUAAACUGAAUAUUUUUGCAGUUUUGGAUGUAAAAGGAGGUUUUCUUCACCAUUUUAUAAACCAAACAGUCAAUUAAUCCUGAAAAUAAUUAAUAUAAUUAAUAGUUAAUUUAAAUCAUUAAGUUGAAUGUCUGCAAGUAGCAGCUUUUAAUUGUUGAUUUUUUUCCAAAUAAUCCAAAUGAUAAUAUAAAAAUGUCAGUUUCUCACAUUUUAAAGCUGCAACCAUCAAUAGUUAGCUUGUAAAACAACUUUAUAUUGUUUAUUAAUCAGUUAUCAGAAGAGUUUUCUGAGUAUUGAUGCAUCUUUUCAGCUGUAAUUGCUGAAAAAAUGCAUUGGUAACUCCAAAAAGAAGGAAAAAUUGGUUCAAAAUGGUCCAUUGUUAUGCAAAAUGUACAAAAAAGCAGCAUUAUGUUCCUGUAAAUAUCCACAUAACUGUGCAAAAGUCAAAGAUGAUCAGUUUACAGUCAUGUUUGAUGAGAAAAAUCAAAUAUUUGGCUCCAAAAAUGAGUAAAAUUAUUCAUCAGAUAAUGAAAAAAGUUCAUCAUUUUAGCAGCAGUGUUUGAGACUUUUAGCAAAUGAGCUAAAACAUAAAAAAAAACAGAAACAUGAUCCUUUAAAUGUUCGAAAAUGAAAGAUUCACGUUAUAAUCAUGUUUAAUGAGUAAAAUCAAACAUUUGACCUGAAAAUUUUGUAAAAUUAUUUAUCAGAUUAGCAAAAAAGUUGUUUAUUUGUGCAUUAGAGAGUUUUUAGCAGAUGAGCUAAAUUAGCAGUACGGCCCUUUAAAUGUCCAAAACUCAAAGAAAUUCAGUUUACAGUGGCAUAGUCAGACUAAAGCAAAUGUCUGCUGUUUGUAACUUUUAACACAUCAGUUUAAACAUGAAAUAAAAACAGCUGUUUGGUCUUUUAAAUGUCCACAAAACUGAAGAUACUGAACAUAUAACGAUGUUUGAUGAGUAAAAUUAAAUGUUUGGCUUGAAAAGUGAAAUUAUUUAUCAGAUAAUGGAAACGAUUAUCUGUGCAGCAGAGUUUGUGACUGUUAGCAGAUGAGCUAAAUUAGCAGAAUGAGCCUUUAAAUGUCUGAAAACGAGCCCAAAAGUCAAAGAAAUUCAGUUUACAAUGACGUACACAGAUUAUAGAAAGACUGUUAGCAAUUGAGUAAAACAGCAUCAUGGUCCUUUAAAUGUCCGUCAAAACCUUCUGAAACUCAAAUAUUUGAACUUUCUAUUGACACGUUGGUUCAUUAAAUUCAUCACUUCUGGCAGAUUUCUCCUCAGAUCUGAAUCUAAACUCCUGGUUUGUUGUUGAACUCUGGUUCUGAUUCUGGUUUCUUAAACUUUCUAACUCGUCACAGUUUGAAUCUGCAGCUCUUUUCUAGACAUUUGUGUUCAUUUGCUCUGUUGAGAAUUUGUAUUUAUAUGUUUAAUAAACGUUCGGAUCUGCUUUCUGUUUGGUUUUUACCGUCAGAGGAAGGAUGUGGUCCGACCGACGCCGAGCUUAACCGUCAGAACAUCGGAGCUGCUGAGAAAAAGGCUGAAUCUGAGGUCAAGUAAUCAGGAUGUGAAAGUACACAAAUAGUAGUAAAAUCCACUGACAGACUUGACAGAAUAAUGAGGAUUCAUCAGACGUCUUCAGAAAUGUGUUCAGGAAGUUAAUUUAGACUCAUUUAAAGGGUUUAAAAAUGAAAGAAAACUGACCUCAAGAGACAAAAAUGAGACACAAAAAAGAAAAAUGACAAAUAAAAAUCACCACAAAGCAAACAGCAAACAAAACAACAGAAAAUUGACCGUCUCAGAUUUUGUUCAUCUUUAGAAGUGUCGUCUGUGACCCAAAACUAAGUUCUGUGAAAUAUUUUUGAGAAUUUCUUGUUUUCACAUCUGUAAAUUUACUGAAUUUUCUCUUCAUAGUUU
ensembl:lncRNA